CUGAGCAACCCGCAUGUGUGUUGCUUCUGCAAACACUAGUUGAAAUAAAGAUGAGAAUCCUCCACACUGCUGUGAGAUUCUCUUCACAAUGAGGACUCAUAGAGGACAGAAUCGUGAGCUCUUCAGAUAUCACCAUUCCUCAUUUAUCUGGUACAAAAGUCAACUGAUUCUUAUGCAUACCAAGUCACAGUAUAUCCUGGGGUAAGUCACUUAACAUUUCUGUGCCAAGAAUUUCUGCAUUUGUCAAAUGCCUAUAUUAAGGCUAUCCCACAGGGUUGGUGGCAGUGGCAAAUGAGAUAAUGGUUGUAAAAAGACUUUGUAAAAUAUAAGGUGCUAUACAAGUAUGAUGUGUUAUAAUCACAGUAACAAUCUGUUUAAAAAAUGGAUGUGGUUUUUGUUUUUGCUGCUGCCUUUUUACAUCCCAAGCUAAACAUUUACCCUUUGAAAAACAUCAGAGAUUCUGAAUCAGUCUAUCUUCCUAUUCUGUGUUUAUGAAAUUUUUCUAAAGUGAAUUGCUGUUUAGCAAAUUGCACAAGCAGUAACCUCUGGUUCAGACCAGAAAUAAGCUGGAAGGUAUGUUGUGCUCCGCAGCAUUUGAAGUCUGUUAAAAGUUCUCUCUGUACAAGACAGGAUAACAUGGUCAGAGAACUACACACACAGGUUCUGUUUAAUGGUGUCAUAUAAGCAGUAAACCAAACAAAGAAACAAUCACAUUUUGAACAUAAUAAACAGUGCAAGUAAAUGGAAGAGGGCUACUUUUCAUCUGUGAUUUUCCCCAUGACAUAAUUCUGAAUAUUUAUAAUUGUGUAAUGAAACCCAGAGCUAGGAUAUAAAUCCUUUCUGGGCUGGAUACAGUAGCAUGAACUGAUAGUUCCAUCCACUUGGGAGGCUGAGGUAGGAGGACUGGAAAUUUGGGGUCAGCCUGGGCAACUUUAGAGCUUAUCUCAGAAAAAGAAAAACAGAACAAACAAACAAACAAACAAAAAACAAAACAAACAAAUGAACAAAAAAAUUAAAAAAAAAAAGAAAGGAAAAGAAAUUCCUGAUGAAGGAAAGGGUGAACAAUAGCAUAUAAAUAGCUUUGUAAACCCCAAAACCUCAGCAUAAAAUAUAUUAACAGGUCUCAUGAAAAUAUGCUUUGGAAAACUGAUCUUAUGAUUGAUCUAAAUGCUAUGAUUUCACAAGUGUCAGGUGAGCUUGCUGCCCUUGGCAAUGUAUGUCUCUGUGAAUUGAUUGCAAUCGGAAUGUUCACUUUUAGUUGCAGCUUUGUUACAGAAUCUUAAAAUAUGUAUGCUGCGUGCAGUGGUGCAUGCCUGUAAUCCCCACAAUUCAGGGGGCCAAGGCAAGAGGAUUGGAAGUUCAAGACAGGCCUGGACAAAUUAGUGAGACUCUGUCUCAGAAAAUAAAAAGGGCUGGGGAUGUAGGUCAGUUAUAAAGCACCCUAGAGUUCAAACCUUAGUACAAAAAAAAAAAAAAAAAGAAUUUUCUUCUUCUCAUUAACAUAUUCCAAAUAUUUGUGUGUUAUUUAUGUUAUUUACAAUUAUAACAAAACAGACCUGUUGUUAUUUACAACUGAAAGUAUAAAAAUAAUUGAGAUGAUUCCUUGAUUCCUAAGAAGUAAUUCUUUAGAUUGUUAAAGGGCUUUGAAUCCUUCUUUAGAACAGAGUUUGGAAGUGAAAAAGCUUAUGGGGAAUGGGAGCCUGAGGUUAGUGAGUCCCCUGGGAAGGGGAUUAAAGUUGGGGAACUUUUGGAGAGGCCUCACCUGCUUCAGCCUUUUCCCUUUGGAGACAUUCAAAAGGGACAUUUUAGGACUGCAGUGACCUUGGAAAAUCAGGAUUGCACCACAGACACACACCUGCUACAGUGGCAGUCUUUAGAAGUUGGCUUCUAUCUGGCAUCUGGCUAGCUUGAAAGAAUUUUAAUCAGGAAGAGGCUUAUGAAGUAACAUCACUCAGGCUCAGUCCUCUCUGAAGCCCUUUUCCUACCAAGCACAGGGUGUUCAGUCAAUCAGUUGCUUAUCAGACCUAUCUUAAUUAGGCCUCGGAAAUCAGUAUGCAAAGUAAAUUGUCGUUAAGCGGUUACUACACUCUCUUAGCAAGUGUGCACUCUGUUCAUUUCUGAAAGGAGAUUUUCUUCAUUUUGAGAGUCACAGCUGGAGUAGAACUAAAACCUAACACCAGCCAGGAAGCCUCCUGCUGGGGGCAGUUUCCUAGCUUUCAGCAUAAUUAUGCAAAUCCAUCUUUGACAUUAGAGAAAGGCCAAUGACAAUGUCAAGCAAAUGUUAUCCAAUUUUCACUUAGUCCCAUUUUAGGUAUUCACAGAGCUGAUGUUCAAGCACUGAAAUAUGUGAGUCAUUUAAAUGUCUAAGGGAAUUGCAGUUUGGUUCCUGUUACUGGAGUGGUUUAAUUCAAAGAAGAAAAUCACAGACUACACAGAGGCCUCUGCUUCUAGCUUCUCAACAGCAAUGGUGCUUUCAGCUUACCUGUGAUUCUUACAGUAUUCACAGGCCAUUUCCACUGACUCCUGUCAAUCUGCUUUUUUUUUUUUUUUUUGAAAUUAGCUGUGUCUGAAUGUAAAACACAAGCACCUGCAGCCAGCCUUUUAUUCUGUUUGGUUUCAUUUAUCUGUUUGUUUUCAAAUAGCUCUACCUAGCACUGUCACAGUAUUUAGGAAACCAAAAAUAUUAUAUGAAUGUUCAAGUCGAAUAAAAUGGGUACAGAAAUCUAAUUAGUUACAGAGGCUACAGAGAUGGACUUGUGGACCCUGUGAGCUGGAAACAACCAGAGCAUGGCCUAAAAUGGCCUGUACAUGUGUAUGAGUUACCUGAAGCCUAUUGGAAAUGACUUGUCCGGAGUCUAUAAGUAAAUCAACAGCAUAGCAAGGGGGGCAAUCCAGUGUUUGUCUUACUACAUUUCAUUGUUUCCAGGACAUGUUUGAGGAUCUGGAAGCAGUCUUCCACAGAGGCAAUGUGGGCAUCUUCUUAUGCUGUGAAAUUUGAGAGGUUUUCAAAUCCUCUUUGUGAGGACCAGAAACUGAAGCCUUAUACCUCCCAAAGCAGGAAGCUUGAAUGUUUGUUCAAAAACCGUGGCAAUCCUGAAGAACAAAUGACCCAGAAAAUGAUGUUUUUAGAAAGCUACUGAAGAAAAUUCCUACAUUCCAGAGAAGAUGAGUGGCUUUGGGAGACUCUGAUGACAGCAGGUUUCUCUGGUUUUGCAAGCUGGGCUCUCUGAUAGCUGCAAUAGCUUUGGGAUCCAGGAAAUAUGGAAAAUGUGCACAGUUCAUUAAGUAUACUAUGGGAAUGAUAAAAUUUAAAAAAGGAAAAUAAAUAUAUUAUAGAUAUUGGGGUUGAGGCUCAGUGGUACAGUGCUUGUCUUGUAUGUGUGAGGCCCUGGCUUCAUCUUUAGCACUGCAAAAAAUGUAUUAUGUGUCUUAUUGUAGAAUGACUUUGGAGAUUACCAGUGGGGAUUACCAGGGUUUUAAAGGAUAUGGCUAAUGGACAAAGAAGGGAGCCAAGGGAGAGAUGGAAUGGGAAAAUGAAAGCAAUAUGGAAGAGAGAAUAAUAGGAUAAAAGAGAAAGCUAUAAGGGCAGGAAUUCAAAGAAAGGAGGCAAGGAUCCUAUCUUAGUUUCCAUAAUGGGGCUGUGGUCCAGUUGUACUCUUACUGUUGAGGUAGAAAUAACAAAGCCAGAUGGGCAUGACCUGUGACUAUUAUAUACAGGAAAUAGCAUGCCAAAGAUGGAAUAUAUUGUCAAAUUAGAGUUAUUGAUGAACUAAGCUCUGACAGCCAAUUCAAGAAACUGUAUUUCCAAGUCUGAGAAAUAGAAAAAAAAAACAGAGUUGAAAGGACAAAUCUGAUAUUAAAAACUAAUAAAGUGGAGCCAGCACACUUAUCUCCUGACCAGUCUGUAGUGUUCUGUGUGAUUGUGAUAGACUGAAUGUUUGUGUGCCCUCCCAGCAAAUUCUUCUGUUGAAAUUCUACCACCCAGUGUGUUGGUAUUAAGAGGUGGGGCCUUCAGGAGGUAGUUGGAUAAUGAAGUUGGUGUCCUCAUGAUGGGUUUAGUAUUCCAGUAAGAAGACACACAAGAGCUUGCUUGCUUUAUAUCUCUCUCUCCUUUGUGAGCAUACAAUGAGGAAAAGAUGGUUACUUAUAAUCCAGUGCAUAUGGUCACGGCUUUCGGUAGAAUCUGGCUAUGCUGGAACUUUAUUUUUUCUGAUGCUAUAGAACCAGGGCCUUGGACAUGCUAGGCAAGCACUCUGCCACUGAUUUCUACCUCCCCCCACCCAAGGCCCCAUGAUUGACUUUGACCUUGGACUUCCAGACUCCAGAAUUGUGAAAAAUAAGCACUUGUUGUUGAAACCACCCAACCUAUGGCAUUCUGCUAUACGAAACACAAACUGAUGAAGAUAGUGGUGGAGCAAGCCCCAAUUAAAGAAUGCACUUUAUGUUUUUGCAAACAAUUGUAUAUCCAACACCUAACACAGUGCCUAGCACAUAUUAGGGGUUUAAUAAAUGCUUUUUAAAUGAAAGGAUGAAUGAUUAUGAUAGACACACUUUAAAAAACUUUCUGCAUUGGGUGAUUGGCCAUAAGUACAGAAAGAAAUAUACAUCUAAAGGAUACAGAGAAUGAGAAGAAAAUGACAAAAGGAUGUAGGGGUGGCAUUUAAGGAUAUAAGUUGGGUGGCCUGGCUGGAUGCCUAAAGGACAGACUUCUCUUGCCAAAAGCAAGCUUUGUUUUUCAUUUUGUAUAAAAUGAAAUGAUGUCUCUGUGAACAUACUUUGAAGUCUGGAGUGUCAAUGUAAUAUGAAUUAUCAUCAUUGUACACCUCAGUUGAGCCAAGAUGGGUUUUUUCCCUCCCUGAUCUGUUCCCUUGGGGCUUUUGUUGGUACAGAAUGGGUGUGGUAUAUACACAGAUUGUGUAAAUCUCAAUGUAUUUCUUCUCUUCCCCAUACGAAACGGACUAAAGUGUUCACAUUUCUUGUUAGGCUCAUAUAUCACUACAUGUAUAGACAUAAAAAGUGAGACUUUAAUGCCCUUAUGGUCAAAGAGUACAAGCAGAGUUAGUGAAUUGCCAUGCCGAAGUAUUUACUGGCCGUGGAAAUGCAAAAGCUCCCAUGGAGAGUUCAUAAAAGAGUCCCCCAACCCCCCAAUUGUUUGUUUCUGUGUGUGUGUGUGUGUAUGUGUGUGUGGUGCUGGGGACUGAACCCAGGGCCUUGUGCAUGCGAUGCAAGCACUCUACCAACUGAGCUAUAUCCCCAGCCCCUUUUCUCUAUAUUUUUUUGGCAAAAUGCAGAAUGACCUCAAAUUUAGGCUCAUAGUAACAACUUGAACAAAUGGAAAGUAAACAAUUGAAUGAAUGGAGAUGUUUAGAUGUCUCAUUGGUACCCAUUAAAGAAAGAAAAUAAGUAUAACUUUCCUUCCCCUACUCAACUUCCUAUAACCCUAGCUGCUGGAUCAUGAUGUCCUUGGCAUUUAGUAGGAAGGACAGUUGGAAAAAUGAAUCAUUACAAAGCAUUAAUAUUUGAAAAUUUCAAAUUUCUGCUGCUUGGAUGAGUAGGCCUUAACAGUUUAACCUAGUGUGUUUCAGUUUGAAGCCUGCCCCCCCUCAUUUACUUGAUGUUAACUUUGUUUAUUUUCAUGUCUCAGUUUCCUGUUCUGUAAAAUUUGGACAAUAAUGAUGUCCCUUUUGGAAGGUCAUUAUGAGGUAUUGUGACAUUAACUGCAAGUAAUUUUGCAAUAGUACUUGGUACAUAGAAAGUACUCAAUGAUUGCUUUUGUUACUACUCUUUUUAAAAAGUUUAUUAGUGAAUAAAUUGAAGUCUGAAAAAAGA
rnacentral:lncRNA from 1 species